ACCAGUGGCACAAGGGAUCAGCACACCUGGCUGUUAACUAGAAGAUUGGUGGUUCGAGUCCACCCAGGGGCG